UCCAGAAACUUCCAACUCUUAUAGUGGUUGCUUGCAGCCUUGUUGGAAGUGAAGAUGUUAAAAAAAAAAAAAAAAAAAAAUUGUGUAAUAAGUAUUUUAAUGCAGGCCACUAUGUACCUUCGUGUGUACAUAGGUGUUACAAGCAAACUUUUUGCUGAUAUGAGAUCCUUGUAUGAUAAGGAUUUGAAAAAUGACAGGUGUUUUUUUUAGCAAAUUAAAUUUUUUUAUGCAAAUCAAAAGAGCAUAAAUCAGGUAUUCAAAAUAAUAUAAAAAACAUAUGUUUAAAGUUUUUACUUAAAAAUAUACAGGGGUAAAUAUGUUUUUAUUAUACCGGGGGUAAACCGCUGCUUUGUGACUUUUAAUAAUUUUUAAAAUACUUUCUUGAACGCCGAUUUUAUAUUUUUUUUAAUUUGUUUUUUAUUAUAAUUUAAGAAAUAUUAGUUAUUAUAAAGUUUAUAUUGUUUAAAACAUGUUUUAGACAAAAAUCAUUUUUUUUGACCUCCGGAUUUUUACAACAUUAUACCUGUUUUGAUGAAAUAGAAUAUUUCAUACUUAACGAUUGUAUUAUUUUAAAUGUUUUGAUAAUGUUAUUUUAUUUUUACAUAUAUCUACUUAUAAGAAUGCAACAAUUCGAAUGAUUUGUUUUUGUUUUUAGCUUUUAAAAACGUUUCUAUACUGUGUUGUUGCUGUUUUACAUAUUAAAUGUUAUUAACAAAAGGAGGACGAAGAAAAAAAAAAAAAAAAAAGAAAACUUAUUUUUGACUUUACUAAAUGCAUUGUUUGCCAGGAGGAUGAUUUAAAAAAAAAAUUGGAAAAAACAGUUUGCGUGACGCUUUGGAAAAACUAAUGGUAUGUUUAAGGCAAAGGUACUCCUAUCAUGACCCAGAGGCAAUUGUUACCAAAAGUUAAGAGAAAUACCACGCGAGGAACUAGAU